UACGUAGGGCGCAAGCGUUAUCCGGAAUUAUUGGGCGUAAAGAGCUCGUAGGCGGUUUGUCGCGUCUGCCGUGAAAGUCCGGGGCUCAACUCCGGAUCUGCGGUGGGUACGGGCAGACUAGAGUGAUGUAGGGGAGACUGGAAUUCCUGGUGUAGCGGUGAAAUGCGCAGAUAUCAGGAGGAACACCGAUGGCGAAGGCAGGUCUCUGGGUAUUAACUGACGCUGAGGAGCGAAAGCAUGGGGAGCAAACAGG
rnacentral:rRNA from 1 species